AACGAACGCUGGCGGCGCGUCUUAAGCAUGCAAGUCGAGCGGCAAGAUUGGUGCUUGCACCGAUCCUAGAGUGGCGGACUGGUGAGUAACGCGUGGGUGACGUACCCUAAGGAUGGGGAUAGCUGGUAGAAAUAUCAGAUAAUACCGAAUAUCCUUAUUGUUGUUAGAGGACAGUAAGGAAAGGAGCUUUGGCUUCGCCUAAGGAUCGGCCCGCGUACUAUUAGCUAGUUGGUGAGGUAACGGCUCACCAAGGCGACGAUAGUUAUCCGGCCUAAGAGGGUGAACGGACACAUUGGGACUGGGAUACGGCCCAGACUCCUACGGGAGGCAGCAGCUAAGAAUAUUCCGCAAUGGAGGAAACUCUGACGGAGCGACGCCGCGUGGAUGAUGAAGGCCGGAAGGUUGUAAAAUCCUUUUAAGCAAGAAGAAUAAACUUUACAGGGAAUGGUAGAGUGGUGACGGUAUUGCUUGAAUAAGCAACGGCUAAUUACGUGCCAGCAGCCGCGGUAACAC
rnacentral:rRNA from 1 species